GAUGAACGCUGGCGGCGUGCCUAAUACAUGCAAGUCGAGCGAACGGACGAGAAGCUUGCUUCUCUGAUGUUAGCGGCGGACGGGUGAGUAAGACGUGGAUAACCUACCUAUAAGACUGGGAUAACUUCGGGAAACAGUAGCUAAUACCGGAUAAUAUGUUGAACCGCAUGGAUCAAAAGUGAAAGGCGGUCUUGCUGUCUCUUAUAGAUGGAUCCGCGCUGCAUUAGCUAGUUGGUAAGGUAACGGCUUACCAAGGCAACGAUGCAUAGCCGACCUGAGAGGGUGAUCGGCCACACUGGAACUGAGACACGGUCCAGACUCCUACGGGAGGCAGCAGUAGGGAAUCUUCCACAAUGGGCGCAAGCCUGACGCAGCUACGCCGCGUGAGUGAUGAAGGUCUUCGGAUCGUAAAACUCUGUUAUUAGGGAAGAACAUAUGUGUAAGUAACUGUGCACGUCUUGACGGUACCUAAUCAGAAAGCCACGGCUAACUACGUG
rnacentral:rRNA from 1 species